GAUGAACGCUGGCGGCGUGCCUAAUACAUGCAAGUCGAGCGAACAGACGAGGAGCUUGCUCCUCUGACGUUAGCGGCGGACGGGUGAGUAACACGUGGAUAACCUACCUAUAAGACUGGGAUAACUUCGGGAAACCGGAGCUAAUACCGGAUAAUAUAUUGAACCGCAUGGUUCAAUAGUUAAAGACGGUUUUGCUGUCACUUAUAGAUGGAUCCGCGCCGCAUUAGCUAGUUGGUAAGGUAACGGCUUACCAAGGCGACGAUGCGUAGCCGACCUGAGAGGGUGAUCGGCCACACUGGAACUGAGACACGGUCCAGACUCCUACGGGAGGCAGCAGUAGGGAAUCUUCCGCAAUGGGCGAAAGCCUGACGGAGCAACGCCGCGUGAGUGAUGAAGGUCUUCGGAUCGUAAAACUCUGUUAUUAGGGAAGAACAAAUGUGUAGGUAACUAUGCACGUCUUGACGGUACCUAAUCAGAAAGCCACGGCUAACUACGUG
rnacentral:rRNA from 1 species